rnacentral:rRNA from 1 species
AUUGAACGCUGGCGGCAUGCCUUACACAUGCAAGUCGAACGGCAGCACGGGAGCUUGCUCCUGGUGGCGAGUGGCGAACGGGUGAGUAAUACAUCGGAACGUACCCUGAAGUGGGGGAUAACGUAGCGAAAGUUACGCUAAUACCGCAUAUUCUGUGAGCAGGAAAGAGGGGGAUCGCAAGACCUCUUGCUUUAGGAGCGGCCGAUGUCGGAUUAGCUAGUUGGUGAGGUAAAGGCUCACCAAGGCGACGACCCGUAGCGGGUCUGAGAGGAUGAUCCGCCACACUGGGACUGAGACACGGCCCAGACUCCUACGGGAGGCAGCAGUGGGGAAUUUUGGACAAUGGGCGCAAGCCUGAUCCAGCCAUGCCGCGUGAGUGAAGAAGG